ACUUGUGGAGUCAGCGGCCGUCUGGCGAAAGUUAAAUCCGGAACCCCAGUGGAAGGGGUUGUUAACCUCUGUGAGGUCUUCCACGAUAGUCCCUUUCUCCAGGAAUAAGCCUCUUGGAGAGCACUGAAAGGAUUUGGUGAAACCUAGCCUGGAACCUGUCCCGUCAUGCUCCGCGGCGCUAACGGCCUUUGGCGGGAAAGCUCCCAGGGGCGGGGCCGCAGGGGAGGGGCCGGCUGGUUGCUGCGGAAACCCGGGCAUCCUUGGAGAGUGCGUCGGGCUCCCGGGCCGAGUAGCAGGUAAUCCAGCUGCGAGCCGGUUUAGGCUGUGGCUUCCUGCCGGCUCUGCGAACAGUCCGUGACUGCUGAAACAGUGCCUGAGAAGAACCCGACGCGUGUUCCUUUAUACAUAUUGGACACUAAAGGCGGUUCCACCUUCGGUUUAGAACUUAAAAUAACUCCUUGCGCUGGUGGCAGCCGGCCGUCCUCUGAUCGCUGCUGGUACUGGUCAGCCAGGAGAGACCUGAUUGCACGGUUCGCCCUGGGGAGAUGCUCAGUGAGUGCUUGCAGAAUGCACUGUGCCUGAUCCUCCGGCUUUCAAGGAACGUGAAGCCAACGGAACGUGUUUGUGUGCAGAAGGAUAUCUCAAAAAGUUUGUGAAAAAAAUGGAAUUGUGGCUCAGUGAGUAAGACACCACUUGGGAUACCCAGUCCCAUAUUGGAGUACUGAUUCGAGUCCCUGCUGCUCUGCUUCUACUCCAGCUUCCUGGUAAUGCACCGGGAAGGCGGCAAAGGACAGCCAAGUCUCUCUGUCAUUAUCACCCAUGUAGGAAACCUGAGUGGAGUUUCUGGCUCCUGGCCCAGAUCUGGCUUCUGCAGCCUGUUGGAAAGUGAACCAGCGCAUAGUGGAUCUCUUUUUCUCUGCCAUUCUGCCUUUCAAAUAAAUAAAUAUUUUUCUGUUUUGUUUUUAAAGAAUAAUUUAGAGGUGGACGUUGUGGCACAGCAGUUUAAGCCCUGUUUGGGACAACUGCGUCCCGUUUCUGAGUGCUGAGUCAAGUCCCUGCUGCUCUGCUUGUCAUCUAACCUCCUGCUAAUGCAUCCUCAGAGCCAGUGCUUGUGGCUCAAGUGCUGCCCCUGCCACCCACGUGGGAGACCCUGAUGGAGCUCUGGGCUCCUGCCUUCAAUCUGGCCUAGCCCAGCCCGGCUAUUGCAGCCAUCUGGGGAGUGAUCCAGUAGAUGGAAGAUUGAUCUCUGUCUCUCCCUCUCUGUCAGUUGAUUUGUCUUUCAAGUGCUUGAAAAGAAAUAAAUAAGUAAGCAUUUUUUAAAAUUUUAUUUUGAGGGGCUGGCGCUGUGGCGCAGCAGGUUAACACCCUGGCCUGAAGCACCAGCAUCCCAUAUGGGCGCCGGUUCAAGACCCGGCUGCUCCGCUUCCUGUCCAGCUCUCUGCUAUGGCCUGGGAAAGCAGUAGAAGAUGGCCCAAGUCCUUGGGCCCCUGCACCCAUGUGGGAGACCUGGAAGAAGCUCCUGGCUCCUGGCUUUGGAUCGGCGCAGCUCUAGCCGUUACGGCUAUCUGGAGAGUGAACCAUCGGAUGGAAGACCUCUCUCUCUCUGCCUCUCCUCUCUCUUUGUAACUUUGACUUGCAAAUAAAUAAAUAAAUCUUUUAAAAAAUUUUAUUUUGAUGCAGAAAUAUUAUGAAAUCCAUGCUUAGUUUUCUCCUAAUACACAUUUUCCAUGAACUUUUCGAAGACCCUUGUAUGUCUCAUCUUCCCUAGUAAAUUAGGUUGAGGACUGAUUACUGCUGUAACUCCCUUUAUUACCAAUAAAUUCUGUUCAGAUGAAUAUCAUUGACUAUUUACUGACUGCUCUUUGAAAAAGACAGGGUGUUAGAUGAGCAGAAUGUUGUUUCUAUGGAAACUUCAUCUUGCUGUCAGUUGCUAGACACAAUGGGUACAAUGCUUGUUUUUCAUUUUGCAGUGUAGUAAAAGAUCACCACUUUUUAAUCCCAAAUAAAUCAUCUAGAAAUGCAGUUUUGGAAAUCUUAUGUCUGGCCUCCCUCACUCUUUGAUUCUUGAUUUAUUUUUGGCUAAUUCUUCCUUUCAUUAUUGUCUCUUUCUUUCAUUAUUGAAAACAAUAGAUAAAAUUUUGCCAGAAAACAGCUCUUAAAAUUAUGUGUUACAAAGAUAUAUGGUUCCCUCUCCCUUUCCCUUUUUUUUUUUAAGGUUUAUUUAUUGGAGGGACCCGCGCUGUGGUGUAGUAGGUUAAGCAGCUGCCUGCGGCACUGGCAUCCCAUAUGGGCACCAGUUCUAGUCCCGGUUGCUGCACUUCUGAUCCAGCUCCUUGCUGAUGGCCUGAGAAAGCAAUGCCCAAGUGCUUGGGCCCCUGCACCCACGUGGGAGACCCAGAGGGCCAUCUACUGCUUUGGAUCGGCUCAGCUCGACUGUUGCAGCCAUUUUGGGAGUGAACCAGCAGAUGGAAGACCUCUCUCUCUCUGUCUCUCCCUCUCUCUAACUCUGCCUCUCAAGUUAAUAAAUAAAUCUUUUAAAAAAAAUUAUUUAUUUAUCAGGACCAGUGUUUUGGCGUAGUGGAUUAAGCUGCCAUCUGCAACUCUGGCAUCCCAUAUGGAUGCCAGUUCAAGUCCCAGCUCCUCCAGUUCUCAUCAGCUCCUUGCUAAUACACUUGGAAAAACAGUGGAAGAUGGCCCAAGUGCAUGGGCCCCUGCACCUAUGUGGGAGAUCCAGAAGAAGCGCCUGGCUCCAGGCUUUGGCCUGGCCCACCCCUGGCCAUUUUGGCUGUUUGGGGAGUGAACCAGCAGAUGUAAGAUCUGUGUUUUUCUCUGUCUCUCCUCUCUGUGACUCUUUCAAAUAAAUAAAAAAGCUUUCAAAAAAUAAAGAUUUAUUUAUUUAUUUGAAAGAGAGGGAAAGACACUGCUUUCCCAGGCUCAUUAGCAGGGAGCUGGAUAGGAAGUGGAGCAGCCAGGACUCAAACUGGCACUCAUGGGCUGCCAGCGUCACAGGCAGGGUUUUUACCCACUAUGCCACAAUGCCAGACCCUCCCUUUCACUCUUACUACUACUCAUCUUGCUUAGUUCUUUCUCUUAAAAAUAACACUGAGCCAAGGCCCAUGCUGUGGCAUAGUGGGCUAAACCUCUGCAAUUCAUAUCCCAACUGCUCCUCUUCUGAUCCAGCUCUCUGCUUAUGGCCUGGGAAAGCAGUAGAAGAUGGUCCAAGUGCUUGGGCCCCUGAACCCUCCUGGCUCCUGCCUCCUGGCUUCGGAUCAGCUCAGCUGUGGCUAUUGUGGCCAUUUGGGGAGUGAUGGAAGACCUUUCUCUCUGUCUCUCCCUCUCUCUAAUUGUACUUCUCAAAUAAGUAAAUAUAACCUUUUAAAAAAAAACCAAGCCCAUAAGCUUUUGACUUUAAUAUAAAUUACAAAUAUUACCUUAAAAUACUAAACAAAAUAUCUUUUAAAAAAAAAUCAAAGCAGGGGCUGGUUUUGUGGCAUAGUGGCUAAACAGUGCCAGUGUCCCAUAUAGGUGCCGGUUCAAGUCCCAGUUGCCCCACUUCUGAUCCAGCUCUGUUAUGUAUGGCCUGGGAAGGAAGUACAAGAUGACUAAAGUCGUUGGACCCCUGCCCCGACAUGGGAAACCUGGAAGAAGCUCCUGGAUCCUGGCUCCUGGCUCCUGGCUCCUGGCUUCAGAUCAGCACAGCUCUGGCCGUUGCAGCCAAUUGGGGAGUGAACUAGCGGAUGGAAGACCUCUCUGUCUCUCCACCUCUCCUCUCUCUGUACAACUCUGACUUUCAAAUAAAUAAAUAAAUCUUAAAAAAUAAAAAAUUAGGGGCCGGCGUUGUGGCGCAGUGGGUUAACACCCUGGCCUGAAGCACCAGGCAUCCCAUAUGGGUACUGGUUCAAGACCCAGCUGCUCCACUUCCAAUCCAGCUCUCUGCUAUGGCCUGGGUAAGCAAUAGAAUAUGGCCCAAGUGCUUGGGUCCCUGCACCCACGUGAGAGAUCUGAAAGAAGUUCCUGGAUCCUGGGUCCUGGGUCCUGGCUUCAGAUUAGCACAGCUCUGGCCGUUGUAGCCAGUUGGGGAGUGAACCAGCAGAUGGAAGGCCUCUCUCUACCUCCUUCUCUCUCUGUACAACUCUGACUUUCAAAUAAAUAAAUAAAUCUUAAAAAAUAAAAAAUUAGGGGCCGGCGCUGUGACACAGUGGGUUAAAGCCCUGGCCUGAAGCACCCGCAUCCCAUAUGGUUACUGGUUCGAGACCCGGCUGCUCCACUUGCAAUCCAGCUCUCUGCUAUGGCCUGGGAUAGCAGUAGAAGAUGGCCCAAGCCCUUGGGUCCCUGCACCCAUGUGGGAGACCUGGAAGAAGCUCCUGCCUCCUGGCUUCGGAUCGGCACAGCUCUGGCCGUUGCGGCUAUCUGGAGAGUGAACCAUCAGAUGGUAGACCUCUCUCUCUUUCUGUGUGUAACUCUUAAUUGCAAAUAAAUAAAUCUUAGAUUAAAAAUUUAAAAAUCUCAGAAUAAGUGAGCUAAAAACUCUCAGAACUACUUUUCUUUGUUUUAUUUAAAUUACAUUUUAAAAAUCUAUUUUAAAGGCAGAGACAGAGAGCUUCCAUCCACUGGUUCACUUCUCAAAUGUUGCUCACAGGGCUGGACCAGGCGAAAGCCAGGAGACUGGAACUCAGUCUGGAUGUCUCAGAUGAGUGGCAGAAGCCCAUCAUCUGCUGCCUCUGAAGACGCACAUUACAAGGAGGCUGGAUCUGACGCAGAGGAGCGAGGACUUGACCAAGGCUCUUUGAUACAGUUUGUGGGCAUCUCAAGCAGCUGCAUGACCUCUGUGCCAAAUGCCUGCCCCUCAGAAUUCUUCUCUGACUUGACUUGUCAAGACUCCAGAGCUCAUGCCACCUAGAGCCUGGGAUCAACAAACUACAGACCCCUGUGGCCAGGUCUAGCCAGUGGCCUCUUCUUGUAAUGCCCCCCGUGAGUCAUGCCAGGGCUUUAACCCACUGCACCACAGCGCCGGCCCCACUUUGCCCUUCAAAAAAUUAAAUAAAGCUUGGGGCUGGUGCUGUGGCAUAGCCCGUAAAGCUGCCGCCUGCAGUGCCAGCAUCCCAUAAGGGUGCUGGUUUGAGACCCGGCUGCUCCAUUUCCGAUCCAGCUCUCUGCUAUGGCCUGGGAAAGCAGUAGAAGAUGGCCCAAGUCCUUGGGCCCCUGCACCCACAUGGGAAGAGCUGGAGGAAGCUCCUGGCUCCUGGCUUCGGGUCUGCACAGCUCUGGCUGUUGUGGCCAAUUGGGGAGUGAACCAUCGGAUGGAAGACCUCUCUCUCUCUCUCUGCCUCUCUUCUCUCUGUGUAACUCUGACUUUCUAAUAAAUAAAUAAAUCUUAAAAAAAAAAAAGUAAAGCUUUUGAAAAAGUCCACUUUCAAAAAAAAGAAAAAAGUCCAUUUUCACUAUCCAUACAUCUUGGAACACAGCCACGCCUACUCAUUUACAUGUUGUCUAAGGCUGGUUUCAGCAACAAAGGCAGAGCUGAGUGGUUACAAUAUGGACAAGGUCCACAAACCAGAAAUAUUUACUGUCUGGCCGUUUACAGGAAAAGCUUGCUAAACCAUGACUAAGAGGAAAUAAGAACCUGUGAUUGUCAUUUUUGAUUAACCUGAUUCAGAUAGUUUUAUCAUAUCCUGUCCCUGUUGCAGAUUUUUUUUUUUUCCUCAUGGGCAGUAUCUUAACAAUGUUAUUAGUUACAAACAUAAAUAAUACAGUUUUCAAGCACUUUAUUAGCCAUUACUGCAGGUUAGUAUAGUUCAGUUAAUUCAUAAUUGCUCAACAUUUGGCAUGGUGAUUAAGACAUUGCAUGGGACACCCACAUCCAUAUUGGAGUGCCUGAGUUUGAAGGCUCUGGCUCCAGUUUCCUGCUAAUGUGCACCCCGAGAGGCAGCCAUGGUGGCUCAAAUACCUAGACCCUGUCACCCAUGUAGGAGACCCAGAUUGAUUUCCAGUCACUGGCUUUGGCCUUUUGAGAGCAUCUGGAGAGUGAACUAGCAGAUGGAGGAUCUUACUCUGUUUCCCUGCCUCUCAAAUAAGAUGAUAAAAAAAAAAUAUUCUUGAAGCUUGCUCAGUAAUUUGAAGGGUACAGAGUCCCGGCUGCUCCUCUUUUUUUUUUUUUUUUUUAAAGAUUUAUUUAUUUAUUUGAAAGUUGGAGUUACAUAGAGAGAGAAGGAGAGGCAGAGAGAGAAAGAGAGGGGAAUUCCAUCUGCUGAUUCACUCCCCAGUUGGCCACAACAGCCAGAGCUGAGCCGUUCUGAAGCCAGGAGUUUCUUCCGUGUCUCCCAAGUGGGUGCAGGGGCCCAAGGACUUGGGCCAUCUUCUACUGGUUUUGCAGGCCAUAGCUGCUCCUCUUCUGAUCCAGCUCUCUGCUUUUGUCCUGAGAAGACAGUGGACGAUGGCCCAAGCGUUUGGGCCCUUGCACCCACAUAGGAAACUCAGAGAAAGCUCCUGGCUUUGGCCUGGCCCAGCCCUGGUCAUUGUGGCUAUUUGGGGAGUGAACCAGCAGGUGGAAGAUUCACUUUCUCUGUGUGUCUCCUCUCUCUCUCUCUCUAACUCUGCUUUUCAAAUAAAUACAUAGAUCUUAGAAACAGAAACAAAAAAAUUUGUACUUAUGCAGUUCUAAUUUCCCACAAUAACUGCAAUAGCAAAACUUGUGUUCAAAAGAGUUUACAUGCCCAAGUAAAGACUGAACUUUUCAAUCUAAAAUAUCUACAUUCAGAAAAAAAUUCCAUGAUAAUAUCUGUUUUUUUUUUCAUACCUUUCCCCAAGAUGAGUGGGUGUUGCUUUAAAUUUGUGCAACUAAAGAGUGCCUUAGGUAGACUCCCUAACACAAAGGAAGCAGUCUGUUCUAAAGGAUUAUUCAGGUCUUCCACCCAUAUAGAUAGAAUGAGUGCUUACCAUCUUUAAAUGUGUUUUCCUAGCUUCAAUUAAAUCCAACUUAGAAAAAAUCAGAUUUCUGCCUGUGCAUUUGUUAACAGCAUUUUGUGAUGUCACAAUUUUAGAAAGUGUAUUAUAAAUUUUGGGGGCCGGCGUUGUGACAUAGUGGAUAAAGCUGCACCACUUCUGAUCCAGCUCCCUGCUAAUGUGCCUGGGAAAUGCAGUACAAGAUGGCUCAAUGCCAGUUCAAGUCCCAGCUGCUCCACUUCCGAUCCAGCUCUCUGCUAUGGCCUGGGAAAGCAGUAGAAGAUGGCCCAAGUAGACCCAGAAGAAGCUCCUGGCUCCUGGCUUCGGAUUGGCACAGCUAUGGCCAUUUGGGGAGUGACCAGUAGAUGAAAGACCUCUCUGUCUCUGCUUUCUCUGUAAUUCUGUCAUUCAAAACAAAUAAAUAAAACAUCUUUCUUAAAAAAGUGUAGUAUAAAUUCUUAAUUGCUUUGGAAGUACACAUAAGAAUACCUGGGGCUCUAGUUACAUUUCCCAUCUGACAAUGUAGUCUUCAAAGUAUCUAACUGCUCCUAAAAUAUGUAUUUCUGUAGAGAGUUAUGCAGGAUUUGUAUUCAACUAUCUGAAUGUCAAAGCCAUGCUCUGACAGAUUCACUGUGUUCCUGCAGAGCUUCAGUCAUGUUUGAGCCUUUGUCAAGGUUAAAGUAAGCACUUGUUUGGGGAGAAUGUAAAUCAGUAGAGGUUCUCACCAAGCAGGAUUGGCAUUGUACCAAGUUAUUAAAGCCAUUUUCCAGGUCCACCUGCCAUGUGCUAAAUACCUUUUAUAAGCUAGCUUCUGUUAGGCAAGUAACAAAUAACCAAAUUUCACUUUUGGCUUAAUGUUACACAUGGGGUGGCACAGGCAUGGUUCUACAUCUCUCUCUCUCUUUUUUUAAAAUAAAGAUUUGUUUGUUUAUUUGAGAGGCAGAGGCAGAGAGAGCAAGCGAGCAAGUGAGGAGAGAGUUUGCUAUCCGCUGGUUCACUCCUCAAAUGGCUGCAGUGACCAG